AUCUUCUCUCUUAACUUACACACUUAUUCACUCCACGCUUCCUCUGUGUCAGCGACAAGAGAUACACAUCCGCUCCAGGUUCUUCACAAUAAGAGCGCCAGGUCCACCCAGAUUGAACGCACCGACACCCCGAUUUUCAGAGCAUCUCAUUCAUUAACAUUUAGUCUGUUACGGUCUUGUAAUGUGUUCUUUUUUCAGGAAAACAACAGCGUUUCUUAUAGGUAAUGUGCAUCAGAGGUGUAACUGAGAAGAGAAUAGAUUUGACACAUUUGUCAAUGUUUAUAAAAUCUAAUAGCGUUGAUUCCAGUGGAGAGAUUCACCUUUACAGCUCCACAUCAAUUAGUUUAGAGAGGUACACAGAAACAAUAUCCUUCUAACAUUAUUAUGAAUCUAAACUUCAUCGUAUGUUAAAUUCAGCCCUUUUAUUUUGAAAACACCUUAACCGAGGGUCAUUCCGGGGGACUUUCAAAAUAAAAGAUUAGUUUUGUCGCCAUAGCAGGGUUGUCAAACUCAUUUUGAUCCCAAUUUGAUCUCAAGUGCGCCAGUAACAUAAUAGCAUAAUAACCUAUCAAUAACGACAUUUUCCAAUUAUUUAGUGCAAAAAAGUACAUUCUGAAACACGGUUAAGGAACUAUGUUUUUACUGUACUUACUUUAUUAUCUACAAAGGCACAAAACAGUCACAUGCACCUGGAACUGAAUGAUGUAGUAUUUUAUUUUAAAAAAGACAAAAAACAACAAAACAAAAUAUUACAAAAUUGAGACACAAAAUGACAGACAAAAAACGACAAACGUGAGAAACAAAAUGACAAAACAACGGGACAAAUGACAUGAAACAACACAAAAAAGAGACCAAGAAUUUGACACAAAAGUCACAAAGAGACAAAAAAUGGACAAACGGCACAAACGAGACAAAAUGGCAAAAACGAUACACAAAACAAUGAAUAAAGCAAAACACAAAACGACAAAAAUAAGACAAAAAACACAAGCCAGACUAAAAGGAAACACAAAACGACAAAAACGAGAAACAAAACGACGAAAACAAGAGAGACACAUGACAAAAGUCAGACAAAAAAAGACAAAAAACAACAAAAACAAGACAAAAUACGACAAAAAUGAGACACAAAACGGCAAAAGAACAAUGAGCAAUACAGUAUUUUAUUUUAAGAUUGAAACAACUUGUCAUGGUCUCGGAAUUAUUUUAAAUGUAUAGUUUUACAAAUUUACAAAUUGCAGGUAAUGUCUUUUCUAUAAUUGCUACACUUUACAAAGUCACCCUGCAAUUGCGCACUGCUGACACGGUCUCCACGCGCAGAAAAUCUGCGCUGCGCACAAAAAAAAAAAAAAAAAAAAAUCCAACCUAAAUUGUAAAUAAAAUAAACACGUAACAAUUAGAGGUAGACCGAUAUAUCGGCCGGCCGAUAUUUUGGGCCGAUAGAUGGACUUUUUUCAAUAUCGGCCAUCGGCCGAUAUUUACAAAUAGAAAGCCGAUUUGUGAUCAGGCACCCGUACGGGCAGCUGCCGCGACCACUUUUCCCUUAGAAGGACCCCCGGCACUCAGAGAGCGGAGCAUUAGCGGAGCGAGUGAGACAGGCAACAACAAGCCUUGCUCCACACCUGCUUAUUUGGUAAAAAAAAUAGGUAAGAGAUUUGUUUCUUGGUAAGAGAGAAAAUGCAAUGUUGAUUUAGCCUUUAAAAGUCUUUACUGUGUGAUCAUCAAACUGUAAAAGUUAGCCGUUUAAGUUUUAGCGUCAGCCUCAGGCAUACAAGCAAGUGAGAAAGUGAAAGUACAUCUGUGGAUGCACUGUGUGUGUGUGGUGUGCGCCUAUGCCCAGAGCGAGGCUGCUGCACGUCCCUCAUCUGCACACCCAACGUCCGUAUGUUUAUAUUAUCUAAUUAUACUAGCAUUUGAAAUAUAUACAUGUAUAUACUUUUAGUGUUUAAAUUGCCUUUUGUAAUCGAUGUGCUUUAAAAAAAAAAAAGUGUAUCGGCCUGAAAAAUCGGCUUCUACAAUCGGCUUUAGAUAUCGGCCAUCGGCUGAAAAUUUUUUUUUAAAAUCGGUAUCGGCAUCGGCCUUUGAAAAUCCCAUAUCGGUCGACCUCUAGUAACAGUUCAUUCUGUGCUAUUUUUCAAUGUGAGUCAGUGAGUGACCGGUGACUGGCUGCUGCAGCCAAUGAUGCAGUUCACAUACGUAUUUACCAUAGACUGUAUAUAAUGGUAUUUACGCAGCUAAUCAACGUCAGACUUAUGUGCAGCCACCGUUGUUCUCAUAGAUAUGAAUGAGUAGAUAGGACACGCCCCUUUGAGCUGCGUGCUACGGCGAGGCUAAGCUAGUGGGGACAAAGUUUCGGUGCAUUCCGUUGAUGUAGACAGCAUGAAAACGGAAACAAGAAGUAUGCCGGCUCACUGUGCUGCGUACAGUUACACACUGCAUCGUACGAUUGAGACAAGGAAACUUGGAAUGACUUUUCAUAGGUAAGAAUAGUUUUUGGCUCUUUUUUCAUUCUGAAAUCUUGUUGAGAGCUUCCAGUCUAUGAGAGCUAACUAGUUAGCCACUAGCAAAACGCUAAGGCGAGCUAGCAGCUUGACAACCAAAUACCAGACGAUUAAUAGUAGCUGUAGUAUAGUUGUACAAGCAGUAGUAGUAAUACUAAAAGUACAAGCAGCAGUAGUAGUAUAAACAGCUGUUAGAGUCAUAGAAGUAGUAUCAGCAUUUGUAAUAGUAUUACAAGUUGUAAUAGCAGUGCCAGUAUCAUCAGCAGCAGUAGUUACUGUACUACCACUACUACUAGUAGUAGUCACAUUGCUAUUACUACCACCAAUACUACCAAUAGUAGUGAUAAAGCCUAACUCAUGUAUAUCCAGAUUACCAUCUAUGUUCUUCCUCCAAACCCAUUUUAUGGUUGGGAUUACAGGCAGUUCUUUAGGACUGCUCUCAAAUAAUUGAAAUGUUUCUAAACAAGGUUAUACUUAUCAAAUUAAAUAGCUCUGGUCUCCAGUAUAUUGGCGAAUUCGGUUCUUUGUACUUAAUUUAUUAGCAUGAUUUCUUUUUAAUAUGUUGUGUACAGACUUAAUUACUUCUCUGUCUACUUUUCUCACUCCAUGUAGGUUUCCCAGAGACUAUGGGUUGAGGAGGAAUUGGAAGUCUGUCGGCUUAGACCUGGUGUCAUUCCAUCAGUGUUAAACUUCCCGGCUCAUUUUGGAAGAGUACGUGCCAGAAAGACCACGACCAAGCAGCCUUGAGAUCUUAGGCAGCAUCUCCCUGAGUCAAAGGUCCCUCUCUAUCUCCCCACACAUCCACCAACCACUGGAACACAUCUCCAAAGUUCUGCCGGGCCAGCUCAGCUUCCCCUCAGAAGAAGUGCUGCCACCUGCCAGAUGAAGGAGCCUUUUGAGAGGCAGCUGGCAUCGUGAUUGGACUGUACUUUGGUCUGUUCCAAUCCAGCUUCAGCUCCAGAGACGGCAGGCGGGACGAGUCAACGGAGGCCGGGUGGACGAAGGCAUGCAGCUGAGUACAAUCCAGAAAACAACAGAGGAGGAGUGAAGCGGCCCAGAGCCAGAACAACCAGAGUAGCAUCACCAAAGAACUACAGACUCUUCACAACCUGCUCAAACUCUUGGUACAGGACCUCACCACACGGGUCAAGAAGGUUUCCAUCUCAUUUCUACUCUCAAGCUCACCUUCUCCUGCUCAAACUGCUGACAAAUGUUUCUGCUGCUCUAAAGUCUGGUCUCCAGAACUUCCUAAAAACUCUCAAAGUCUCUUCUGCUGCAGGUUGCUUUGUAGAACUGUUGCAGAAAACCUCGCUAAACCACAUGGAGGGGCCUCAAGAUAGUCGUCCAAAUGAAACUGUACAAAAACCAAACUAGCACAACCCAAACGCUAAAGUCUCCUGCAGCCUACCAGAGAACCUCUGAGAACAGAGAAUCAGGACAGGAACUCUUACCUUCUGGACAACCAACGUUGGUUCACAAACCAGAAUACAGAAUGUGUCUGACCAAAAACCUCUAAAGACUCACUACAGCCAAGAUAAAGACACAACUCAGCUGUACCAAACCCACUAAUCACUGCACACAUUAGCACCAGCUGCUAACUGUGGCUAAAGAACCUCAUUUACCAAGACAACUAUCCAGUACAAAGCCCUAAAACACACCAAGAAACACAUUAAAGACAAUUUUACUGCUGGAAGCUGCAAGCCAACGCCUAAAGAACGAACUAAAGCAACAGAGCUAAACCCGGUUCUAUGGUGAAGAGAAGCAGAGGAAAUGUUUGCAGCCACAUAAAGCAGGAAGACACUGAGCUGCUCAGGUGUUCCUGAUAACACCUAGCAGCCACCUGGACAGCCAAUAGGAACACAGCUUACUGGGAGUCCAGAGGGCUGGGUUAGUGAAGGAAAUUUAAUUUAAAGUUGAAGCAGAAAGUUAACAAAGUUGAAAACCACCUUCUGAUACCUGAAAUCUCUGAGUUUUCACACAAAGAACACCUGAACAUGUCAAACUGGCUUCAUAGUAGAACCAUCAUUGUAAAAACGUCAUAGUAUGGUGUGUUGCUCAAAAAACAUUAGGACCCGGCUGUCAGGGGACAAACAUGUAAGAAACAUGAGAACAGAGAGAACUCAACCAGUAGGUCACAGUUUAUCAUCCCCCAGUCAUCUCCUGAAGUCCAUAUGGUGAGAGACAUCAGUAUCUGGUUGUUAAUUUACCAGAGGAUGCUUAUAAUCAUGCUGAUGUGGUCUGUACUCUACAGUAUUUUAGUGACUCAAUAAAUGCCUAAGUUGAUUUUUUAAAUGCUUUUUAGUUUUUAAUAAACAUUUAACAGCCUAUAUGUAAUCAAUAAAUGGCCUUUGCCUAUCUUAAGAAAAAUUCAGUCUCUUGUGUCAAGGUUUGUCUCUUAUGCAGUCUUGUUUGUGCUAAGGAGGUCAGCUUGACCCUAAAGCCUUGGAGUACACAGGAGGCCUUAUUUUCUGUCUUGAAGGACCACACAAAGAAUUCUGUACAGGCCUGCGAGUGCCAUGUUAGAGGAGCAGUUAGAUAAAACCUUCUCAGAGACAAACUUUCCUAUCACACCGAAUGUGACUUUAUAACUUUGACAUUAGUUCCAUAUGCAUACAUAUGGUUUAUUGCAAUAAAUAGCACUGAUGGACGCUUGCACAUUGUGAUUUUUUACAUUUUUUUGGUAGAACUUCAACAAUAACAAACCAACCUUACCCUAAGAUAAGUAAAAAUGUCUGUUUCAAAGCUGGACAUGUUUUUAAGGUUAGAGAAAUAAGACUUCAUGUGUCAAGUUUGCCUCAUUCCAAGCAGAAGGGAGAAGAGACAUGCAGGUCCAGCUGAAAACCAUGUUCCAUCCACUGACAGUCUCUGACUCCAUCCGCAUUUUUUUCUACUAUAUUUACAUUGCAAGUUCUCUUAUUUUUGCAAAUACUUGUGAUUUAAUUUCUUAGUUAACCUUUCUUGGUGCAAGCUAGUUUCAGAACUUGAAGUUGUCUGCUGCAAAAUGAGUGUGUGCAGCAGAGCAUCCACACCAUGAACUGCAUCCAGAGGUUCUCACCAAACAAACAACUUAGAGCAUAAUCGUUCUCUCUUGACAAAAAGACCGUCACCAACCGGCAUGGGUUUUUUACUGUUUAUUAAAAAGAUUCAGUCCACAGUAGUUCAGAGUCUGGCACCAACAAUAUAAAAACAAGUAGAUCAAAAAUAAAGUGUACACCCCAAAAUAGCAUUGAACAAAAUGCCUAAACAAAAAGGGAUAAAUAAAACAAAUGAAUUAAAAAAAAAAA